rnacentral:rRNA from 1 species
UACGUAGGGGGCAAGCGUUGUCCGGAUUUACUGGGCGUAAAGAGCGCGCAGGCGGUCGUUCAAGUCGCGUGUGAAAGCCCCCGGCUCAACUGGGGAGGGUCACGCGAUACUGAUCGACUCGAAGGCAGGAGAGGGAAGUGGAAUUCCUGGUGUAGCGGUGAAAUGCGCAGAUAUCAGGAGGAACACCCAUUGCGAAGGCAGCUCGCUGGGACGUUACUGACGCUGAGACGCGAAAGCGUGGGGAGCAAACAGG